rfam:Ashbya gossypii ATCC 10895 chromosome I, complete sequence.
GACACUAUGGCCGAGUGGUUAAGGCGGGAGACUCGAAUCUUUCAGAGGUAUCUCUUGGGCUCUGCCCGCGCAGGUUCAAAUCCUGCUGGUGUCG